GCCAUGGCCGCCUGUCAACCCCACGCCAUGGCCCCGCUGGCUCCCACUUUUUCUUGCCUCCACGAGCUUGCCAGGGACUUGUGGAGUGUAAUUUGAGUUGCCCUGACACAACAUGUAAGGGGCAGAAACAAGAUUACAGCACCCAAUACCUACCACGACAUGCUACCACACACAAUACUAGCACAGCCAUACCAAGAAAACAAGGUGGACAUUUUAGAACUAUUGUUAUGUAAAGAAGCAAUAAGACUGUGAAGUCAAGAAAGACCUGAUCAGAAGAAUGGGGAAGAAGAGAAGAAGAAAACUGACCUCUUUUACAAUACACAGGUUACUGGACCCCUCCCAUUUACACAGACUACUACUACUACUACUACUACUACUACUACUACCAUAUUGCAGCUUUAAUCAAGAAACUUGAAACAUGCAUAAACAGAAGGAAGGAAAUUAAAUAUAUGCAAGAAUUUUGGAAGAAUCGCUUAAAAUCCGAGAAGAGAUGGCAGCACUCAACCAGGCACAAGAAAAUCAAGAAGUGGAGGCUCCGAACUGCACUGAACUGAACUGUAAACUUUAUCAGAAGGGAGGAUAUUAAAUAUACUCAAGAAUUUUAGAAGAAUCGCUUAAAAAUCAGAGAAGAGAAGGCAGCACAACCAAGCACAAGAAGACCAUUUAGAGGGGCAAAGGCAACCCUCCGAACAGAACUGGAAACAAACAGAAGGGAGGAAAUUAAAUAUACUCAAGACUUUUAGAAGAAUCGCUUAAAAUUGGAGAAGAAAAGGCAGCACAACCAAGCACAAGAAGAUCAUUUAGAGGGGCAAAGGCAACCCUCCGAACAGAACUGGAAACAAACAGAAGGGAGGAAAUUAGAUAUACUCAAGACUUUUGGAAGAAUCGCUUAAAAUUCAGCCAGGCACAAGAAGACCAUUUAGAGGGUCCGCUGCAAAGGCACUCCCUCCGAACUACUCUGCACUGAACUGACCUGGUUACGGCGCCUGUACAAGUGACCCGGGAUGGAGUAUUGGCGGCAGGGCAGCUCAACGAAAGCUGCUGUGGGAGUGCUGCCCUCCACAGCAAGCAAGGGGCUGCCCUGCCCAGACCACAGCAAGAGGAGGAAGAGCUCUGCAUUA